AUUGAACGCUGGCGGCAUGCCUUACACAUGCAAGUCGAACGGUAACAGGUCUUCGGAUGCUGACGAGUGGCGAACGGGUGAGUAAUACAUCGGAACGUGCCUAGUAGUGGGGGAUAACUACUCGAAAGAGUGGCUAAUACCGCAUGAGAUCUACGGAUGAAAGCAGGGGAUCGCAAGACCUUGUGCUACUAGAGCGGCCGAUGGGAGAUUAGGGAGUUGGUGGGAUAAAAGCUUACCAAGCCGACGAUCUGUAGCUGGUCUGAGAGGACGAUCAGCCACACUGGGACUGAGACACGGCCCAGACUCCUACGGGAGGCAGCAGUGGGGAAUUUUGGACAAUGGGCGCAAGCCUGAUCCAGCAAUGCCGCGUGCAGGAUGAAGGCCUUCGGGUUGUAAACUGCUUUUGUACGGAACGAAAAGCCCUGGGUUAAUACCCUGGGGUCAUGACGGUACCGUAAGAAUAAGCACCGGCUAACUACGUGCCAGCCGCCGCCGUAAAAC
rnacentral:rRNA from 1 species